rnacentral:rRNA from 1 species
GACGAACGCUUGCGACGUGCCUAAGAAAUGCAAGUCGAACGAGGCAGCAAUGCCGAGUGGCGAACGGUCGCGUAACACGUGGGCAACCUGCCCUGAAGCGGGGGACGAACAAGUCGAAAGAUUUGCUAAUACCGCAUGUGUCUCGCUGUGGCAUCACAGAGGAGACAAAGCCGCAAGGCACUUCAGGAUGGGCCCGCGGCCUAUCAGCUUGUUGGUGAGGUAACGGCCCACCAAGGCUUCGACGGGUAGCUGGUCUGAGAGGACGAUCAGCCGGAUUGGGACUGAGAUACGGCCCAGA